CCUACGGGAGGCAGCAGUGAGGAAUAUUGGGCAAUGGACGCAAGCCUGACCCAGCAACGCCGCGUGAAGGAAGAAGGCUCUCUGUUUUGAAACUUCUUUUUUCAGGGACGAAACAAGUGACGGUACCUGAUGAAUAAGCCUCUCCUAAGUACGAGCCAGCAGCCGCGGUAAUACGGCGGCCGCAAGCGUUAUGCGGAUUUACGGGGUGUAAAGGGCGUGUAGGCGGGAGGGCAAGUUAGAUGUGAAAACUAGGGGCUCAACCCAUAGCUUGCAUUUGAAACUGUACUUCUUGAGUGCUGGAGAGGUAAGCGGAAUGGCGUGUGUAGCGGUGAAAUGCGUAGAUAUCAGGAGGAACACCGGUGGCGAAGGCGGAUUGCCGGGCAGUAACUGACGCUGAGGCGCGAAAGCGUGGGGAGCAAACAGGAUUAGAUACCCGAGUAGUC
rnacentral:rRNA from 1 species